GAUGAACGCUGGCGGCGUGCUUAACACAUGCAAGUCGAGCGAAGCACCUUGACGGAUUUCUUCGGAUUGAAGCCUUGGUGACUGAGCGGCGGACGGGUGAGUAACGCGUGGGUAACCUGCCUCAUACAGGGGGAUAACAGUUGGAAACGGCUGCUAAUACCGCAUAAGCGCACAGUACCGCAUGGUACGGUGUGAAAAACUCCGGUGGUAUGAGAUGGACCCGCGUCUGAUUAGGUAGUUGGUGGGGUAACGGCCUACCAAGCCGACGAUCAGUAGCCGACCUGAGAGGGUGACCGGCCACAUUGGGACUGAGACACGGCCCAAACUCCUACGGGAGGCAGCAGUGGGGAAUAUUGCACAAUGGGGGAAACCCUGAUGCAGCGACGCCGCGUGAGCGAUGAAGUAUUUCGGUAUGUAAAGCUCUAUCAGCAGGGAGGAAAA
rnacentral:rRNA from 1 species